GAUCCUGGCUCAGGAUGAACGCUAGCUACAGGCUUAACACAUGCAAGUCGAGGGGAAACGACAUCGAAAGCUUGCUUUUGAUGGGCGUCGACCGGCGCACAGGUGAGUAACGCGUAUCCAACCUGCCCAUCACUUGGGAAUAACCUUGCGAAAGUAAGACUAAUGCCCAAUGAUAUCCCACGAAGGCAUCCGAAUGGGAUUAAAGAUUUAUCGGUGAUGGAUGGGGACGCGU
rnacentral:rRNA from 1 species